rnacentral:rRNA from 1 species
GAAGAAAGCGGGGGAUCUUAGGACCUCGCGCUAUAGGGGCGGCCGAUGGCAGAUUAGCUAGUUGGUGGGGUAAAGGCCUACCAAGGCGACGAUCUGUAGCUGGUCUGAGAGGACGACCAGCCACACUGGGACUGAGACACGGCCCAGACUCCUACGGGAGGCAGCAGUGGGGAAUUUUGGACAAUGGGGGAAACCCUGAUCCAGCAAUGCCGCGUGUGUGAAGAAGGCCUUCGGGUUGUAAAGCACUUUUGUCCGGAAAGAAAACUUCCUGGUUAAUACCUGGGGAGGAUGACGGUACCGGAAGAAUAAGCACCGGCUAACUACGUGCCAGCAGCCGCGGUAAUACGUAGGGUGCGAGCGUUAAUCGGAAUUACUGGGCGUAAAGCGUGCGCAGGCGGUUCGUUAAGACAGAUGUGAAAUCCCCGGGCUUAACCUGGGAACUGCAUUUGUGACUGGCGAGCUAGAGUAUGGCAGAGGGGGGUAGAAUUCCACGUGUAGCAGUGAAAUGCGUAGAGAUGUGGAGGAAUACCGAUGGCGAAGGCAGCCCCCUGGGCCAAUACUGACGCUCAUGCACGAAAGCGUGGGGAGCAAACAGGAUUAGAUAC